UCUCCUCUCCCAGUCGCCUCCCUCUCCUCUCCUCCCAUACACGGCCGUCUCCCUCUCCUCUCCUCUCUAGUCUUCUCAGAGGCGGUGAAAGGGUGCCUGCAGUGGUAACGGCGACGGCGGCACGGAAGCUGAUCCGGCAACGAGGUGCAGCGACGAAGCUCGUGGUGCGGCGACAACGUGAGCUGCGGCGACUCGGGCCAUGGGCGGCGGAUCUGGCGGCCCGGGGAGUCGCAGGAGGCGGUGGGCGGUGGAUCUGGCGGCGGGGAGCGGCGUGGUGGGUCCCAUGGCGGGGAGGGGUGCGGGCGGCGGCGAAGAGUGGCGGUCGCGGUGGAUCCAGCAGCGGCUGCCACACGACGACGACGGCCGGGCCUCGAAGGUUCCAGCGGCUUCCUCUAACCCCCUCCCCUCUCCCAGAUCCAAUGGGUGGCGGUGGUGCUCGGCCGGUGCUCGAUCUGGCGGCAGCGACUCCGGCGGCACCCAUAUGUUUGAUAAUACAGGCAGAGUAAAAAUUAAAAUAAUUCAAAAGUAA
rnacentral:lncRNA from 1 species